CUUGCUUCUCUUGAGAGCGGCGGACGGGUGAGUAAUGCCUAGGAAUCUGCCUGGUAGUGGGGGAUAACGUUCGGAAACGGACGCUAAUACCGCAUACGUCCUACGGGAGAAAGCAGGGGACCUUCGGGCCUUGCGCUAUCAGAUGAGCCUAGGUCGGAUUAGCUAGUUGGUGGGGUAAUGGCUCACCAAGGCUACGAUCCGUAACUGGUCUGAGAGGAUGAUCAGUCACACUGGAACUGAGACACGGUCCAGACUCCUACGGGAGGCAGCAGUGGGGAAUAUUGGACAAUGGGCGAAAGCCUGAUCCAGCCAUGCCGCGUGUGUGAAGAAGGUCUUCGGAUUGUAAAGCACUUUAAGUUGGGAGGAAGGGUUGUAGAUUAAUACUCUGCAAUUUUGACGUUACCGACAGAAUAAGCACCGGCUAACUCUGUGCCAGCAGCCGCGGUAAUACAGAGGGUGCAAGCGUUAAUCGGAAUUACUGGGCGUAAAGCGCGCGUAGGUGGUUUGUUAAGUUGGAUGUGAAAUCCCCGGGCUCAACCUGGGAACUGCAUUCAAAACUGACUGACUAGAGUAUGGUAGAGGGUGGUGGAAUUUCCUGUGUAGCGGUGAAAUGCGUAGAUAUAGGAAGGAACACCAGUGGCGAAAGCGACCACCUGGACUAAUACUGACACUGAGGUGCGAAAGCGUGGGGAGCAAACAGAUUAGAUACCCUGG
rnacentral:rRNA from 1 species